UACGUAGGGUGCAAGCGUUAAUCGGAAUUACUGGGCGUAAAGCGUGCGCAGGCGGUUAUGCAAGACAGAUGUGAAAUCCCCGGGCUCAACCUGGGAACUGCAUUUGUGACUGUAUGGCUAGAGUACGGUAGAGGGGGAUGGAAUUCCGCGUGUAGCAGUGAAAUGCGUAGAUAUGCGGAGGAACACCGAUGGCGAAGGCAAUCCCCUGGACCUGUACUGACGCUCAUGCACGAAAGCGUGGGGAGCAAACAGG
rnacentral:rRNA from 1 species